CUAUAACAAACCUGUACACUAAUCUCCAGAAAGAGGCCUAGCGACCUGAACCUAAAAUAAAAGUAAAAAAAAACAAGAUGGAGUGAGAUCCACCUGCACCACCAAGAAACGAUCCAUAGAACAAAUCGUUGCCUGAGAAAAUAAAAAUCACAGAUGAUCGCUCUCUAUGGAUGCAUGCACACAAAUCCAGGUCUGCACGCCAGCCACUUUGAUAGGAUCAACUGCAGAGAUGUGCCCAGCUUUGCUCAAAUUGGCCUUCAUCCGGUUCCAGCUUUCAAAACAGGAACAGUGGGAAAUGAGAGGGAGAUGUCCUGUGCCCAUGCAGGCUGCCCUUCACUACACCCACAGCCAGCCAGGCAUUCAGGUGUUUCUUUCUGCAAUUCUCUCUUAAGAGAAGCACUUCAGGGGCACAGGAAAUUCCCACAUCAAAGGGUAAAUGAGUAAAUAAAUAGAGUCAUGUUCUGCCAUUGUCUGUACUCUGAAGAGUUUCUCACAAUCUGGCAUUAAGACUCUACAAAUCAUCUACCUUCUACACAACUUCUGAAGCUGUUCAACAUUGCCUUAAAAUUUUUCAAAAGGUCAUAGAGACUGAUAAUGCCAUAAAGUUUCGUUUUCUUUCUUUAGCCCCCAUCUGGGAUUUUCCUUCUUUUUCCCACCUGGAAUAGAUGGAAGUCUGGAGGUGUGGCAGCCUUCUUGCAGCCAUGAGGUCACCAUGGAUAUGAAAAUCAUGCAUAAGGAGGGUGGGGCGGGAAGAUAAUGGACUUGCUGCAUUGUCUGGGCUUUUCUAUCUCGUGUGUUAUGUGAGCAAAACAAACCCCUACUUGGUAAAGCCACUAGAGUCAAGUUUUUGUUUUGUGGAGACAAGCGUAAUUCCUAACGGAUACUUGCAAUGUCUAUUGGUAGGACUCAGUUCUGGAGAUUCGUCUGUUUUCCCAGUACCAUAGAAAAAUCUUUUUAUUUAGAAAAACAUUAAAA
rnacentral:lncRNA from 1 species